UGUGGGAGCGGGCUUGCUCGCGAACGCGGCGUAUCAGUCGACAUCGAUGUUGAAUCUGAAGACGCCUUCGCGAGCAAGCCCGCUCCCACA
rnacentral:antisense_RNA from 1 species